AAAUUGAAGAGUUUGAUCAUGGCUCAGAUUGAACGCUGGCGGCAGGCCUAACACAUGCAAGUCGAACGGUAACAGGAAACAGCUUGCUGUUUCGCUGACGAGUGGCGGACGGGUGAGUAAUGUCUGGGAAACUGCCUGAUGGAGGGGGAUAACUACUGGA
rnacentral:rRNA from 1 species